AUUGAACGCUAGCGGGAUGCCUUACACAUGCAAGUCGAACGGAUGGGCGAACGGGUGAGUGAUGUAUCGGUACGUGCCCAUUAGCGGGGGAUAACUACGCGAAAUCGUAGCUAAUACCGCAUACUCUUGGACCGGCCGAUAUCGGAUUAGCGAGUUGGUGGGGUAACGGCUCACCAAGGCGACGAACCGUAGCUGGUUUGAGAGGACGACCAGCCACACUGGAACUGAGACACGGCCCAGACUCCGACGGAAGGCAGCAGUGGGGAAUUUUGGACAAUGGGGGAAACCCUGAUCCAGCCAUCCCGCGUGUGGGAUGAAGGCCUUCGGGUUGUAAAGCACUUUUAGCAGGAAAGCGGUACCUGCAGAAUAAGCACCGGCUAACUCCGUGCCAGCAGCCGCGGUAAUAC
rnacentral:rRNA from 1 species